rnacentral:ncRNA from 2 species
AAUUUAAUAAAAACAGAAACUUAUUUAAACUGUGAAUCUGGCACAGCGUCUCUACAAAGCACCGUAAAUGCUUUACAAUAAGCCAAGAUACUAAGCCG